GAUGAAGAACGUAGUGAAAUGCGAUAAGUAAUGUGAAUUGCAGAAUUCAGUGAAUCAUCGAAUCUUUGAACGCACAUUGCGCCCCCUGGUAUUCCGGGGGGCAUGCCUGUCCGAGCGUCAUUACAACCCUCAAGCUUAGCUUGGUAUUGGGCCCCGCCGACCCGGCGGGCCCUAAAGUCAGUGGCGGUGCCGUCCGGCUCCGAGCGUAGUAAUUCUUCUCGCUCUGGAGGUCCGGUCGUGUGCUCGCCAGCAACCCCCAAUUUUUUUCAGGUUGACCUCGGAUCAGGUAGGGAUACCCGCUGAACUUAAGCAUAUCAAUAAGCGGAGGA
rnacentral:misc_RNA from 1 species